ensembl:ncRNA lncRNA:CR44861 long non-coding RNA:CR44861
AUUUUUGAAAAGAGCAACAUGAGGCCGCCAAAUUCCGCUGCACAUUUUCCGCCGUAGAUCCAAGUACAGUUUCCAAAAAAUCGAGGGCGAUUAAUCAUCAGUAUAGCAAUGUUUGAGAACUCGACUGAUUUAUUUUCCCACCAAAAUACAAAAGCCACCCUGCCGUCGGACAGGAUUUACUGCGCAGCUGCAGGACAACCAACAGUCACGAAGAACCUCGUGCAGCUUCAAUAGCAACAGCCUGCUGCUGGGUGGCAUGGGGUGGGUUUAUUUGUAGGGCUUGUCCUUGAAGGCACCCGGUGUUGUUUGGCUGUUUGGUGCCCGGUAAAUGGUACCCGACACCAGGUUGCUGUCAAGCGACGCCUCUUCAGAGCCGGUGCUUUUGUCUCACUUGGCAACGUCGGGGUUGCAAAACUUUUCCCACCAUUUCGACCCUGAUUUCCACCCCACUCGAUCGGGGUGAGUGGAUAGUGCGCAGGUAUGCAACAGAGGACCAGCUGCCGGCAUGCAAACGAGUCCAACGAAGCUUUUGCCACUCUCAAAUUGGAUCUCACUCUGAUGGAAAAUUACCAAA